ACUAUUCCAGCUGGUUUUUAUUCUCAAGCUAAGGCUACUACUGAUCAGCACUUAGAGCUAUUAUACAGCUGCAUACCACAAGAAAGGAAGGAUGAAGGUUCAUCAUUUUGGCUGGAGCAGUCAAGACUGUUUCAAGACUGAUGCAAGACUGAUCCUGCACACAGUUUUUCAAAACCAUUUCCAACUGUCAUGAGUCCUUUUCUGAGCAUCCAAACGGCUAUAUCUGAUACAUGACAGUGGAAGGAAGUAAGAAACAACUCAUAUGUACUUGGUAACAGCUCACACAUUUUUGGAUCUUAUAGAUCAAAGCCAAAAGGAAAUCAAGACUGUUCCAAGACUGAACAGAGAAUCUGCACAUUAUGCAGAAGUUGUCUGCUGCAUGUAGAGCACUGAGUAACAGCUCUAUUUUACUCUCUAACUGAUAUACUUGAAGGCCAAGCUUCAAUCUCAAGCAAGCAUCUAUAAAAGGCAAUCAAGUCCAAGGGAAAGAGCAAGAGUUUUCAAGCAAUUCAAGUCAUACAAAACACAUUCAAUCUCUUUAGCUCAAAGUCCUUUUUUAAGUCGCUCUUUUGUAAAUCUGAGUACAAUCCUCUUUAGAGUGCUUUCAUCUAAGCUUCUCUUUUAUAGUGAGUCUGAAAUUAAGCUUAGAAACAAAUCACCUAUAUUGUAAUUGCUCAAGUCAAUACGUGACUAUUGAUUGAGUGUUGAUUGGUCAAGUUGACUAGGAAAGUUCAAAGCUCUAGGAGCUUUGGUAAGUUGUUGAUCUUAGGUCAAGAUCAAGGUGAAUGUGUAAGUCUUGGAUCUGUAACAUUUAAGUGAUUCUAGUGGACAAACUCACAGG
rnacentral:lncRNA from 1 species